rnacentral:siRNA from 1 species
UCGUUCCCAAGGGAAAUCAGCCU